GAUAUGCAAAUCCAGGCCAAGCUCACAACUAACUGAUUCUAAUUACCGGCGUAAUCGGCUCAAUUCACCCUUUUUCGAAAGUUGUCAACGGCCUGGCGGAAAUUCCAGUCUGUCCACUUACCCACGGAUCCCCAGUCGGGAUGGGCCAGGUUAUUGUACCAGCCGUCGUAGCGCUGUUUCUCGGUCUGACUAUACAUUUUCUCUGAAAGAUAGGAACGCAGGUGACACAUGUUAAAGUUUACUGCCUUAGAGCAAUUACAUUUAAUCUAUUUGAGUGUGGGAACUGUUCUACGGAGUCGUUCUCGUUUAUUACCUAUUAAAACCAUAUCUGAGGUCACCGCCAUGGAUCUAAAUUAUUAAGUUUAAUUAACUUUCAAGCGGAUAACAGAACAUUCAGCAAAGUAAUACUUCUGUUACGGCGUCAACUUUUUGAAUUCGACCAUAACUCCCCGUUCUGGACAGAAAAAGAUGGUUUGUUUGCCGAAUUCGUGGGUUCGCCGUCUUCGUCGUGAGCAAACCAUGGCAGAUGUAUAUGACGUUGGCAGCUACAGCUACAGCUACAAGUCAUGAAUAUAUUUCGUACCAUUUUCGAGAGCCACUGAGUGAGUCUGAGAUGGCAAACAGAAUCAGAUCCGGUUAACCAAAAACGUAGCCAGCUGAGGAGACUCAGAGAGAGGAAGCCUCAGCUGACUCCGAUCAGCUAUAUAUGCUUAUAUAUAUAUAAAACUAUAUGUACACAAACACUAUGCGUUGGCGGCGAACGGAAUGUUGCCCAGAUGUCCAGAUGUACUUCGGCUCACCAAGAGCUUGCUCAACUCUUGGAAAUGCCAAGUGGCGAGGUAAAUCCGCGC